GCUAACAAGGGUAUAUGGUGGAUGCCUUGACAUCAAAAGACGAUGAAGGACGUAGCAAUCUGCGAUAAGCUUCGGUGAGGUGAUAAGCAACCUUUGACCCGGAGAUUUCCGAAUGGGGAAACCCUUCCGCUGGAAGAGCGGAAACCAUUAGCUGAAUUCAUAGGCUAAUUGGAGACAACUCGGCGAACUGAAACAUCUUAGUAGCCGAAGGAAAAGAAAGAAUUAAUAUACUAAUAAAAAUUAUUGGUAACUAGUUUAUCAUUAAUUUUUAUUAGUAUCUCGAUUCCCUGAGUAGUGGCGAGCGAAACGGGAAGAGUCUAAACUCUAUAUAAGAUAAUCUAUUUUUAACCAAGCUUAGCUUGGGAGAAAAUAGGGAAAUGAUCGCAAGUCUAACGCUGUAUAGAGGGUUAUAAGAAGCUAGCAUUUUGGAGUUUGCGGAUCCAGAGCAUAAUUAUUGUUAUUUAACAGAAUUCCGAUGGAAAGCGGGAGCCAAAGAAGGUGAAAGUCCUGUAAGUGAAAGAUAGCAAUAAGAUGAGCUAGAUUUCUUAAGUACCACGAAGCCGGUGAAACUUUGUGGGAAUUUAGCGUCACUAUGCGCUAAGACUAAAUACUUUUGAUGAUCGAUAGUGAACUAGUACCGUGAGGGAAAGGUGAAAAGUACCCUGAGAAGGGGAUGAAAUAGUAUCUGAAACCAUAUACUUACAAGGAGUCGGAGCCCUUCGACUCGCUUGUCACUUUGUUCCAAGCUCGCUCAGGGCUUUCAGCCCCCAUUUAUUAUAAUGGGGUCGGAGACCUUGAGCGAAAGACGAACUAAGUGAGGAGUGAGUCGAUAGGUGACGGCGUGCCUAUUGAAGAAUGAGCCAACGAGUUAGCUACAUACAGCUUAUUUAACUCCUUUGGGAGGAAGAUGAAGUGAAAGCGAGGAUGAAUAGUCCGUAACAAUUUUAAAUCCUAUUCCAAUUUUAUUGGAAUAAGAUUUAAUUUUGUAGGUUGUAUGUACUAGACCCGAAACCAGGUGAGCUUGCCAUGACCAGGGUGAAGCGGCAGUAAUAUGUCGUGGAGGCCCGAACCCACUAGCCGUGUAAUACUAGGGGAUGAGUUGUGGUAAGAGGUGAAAUUCCAAUCGAACCUGGCAAUAGCUGGUUCUCCUCGAAAUAGUUUUAGGACUAGCCUCGUAAAUUAAGUUUUGGUGGUAGAGCACUGGAUGGAGUGGGGUGGCAUUGCGUCCAUACUCAUUCUAAUCAAACUCCGAAUGCCAUUACGUAUUUUGCGGGAGUCAGACCAUGGGGGCUAAGCUUCAUUGGUCAAAAGGGAAACAGCCCAGAUCUCAAUCUAAGGUCCCUAAAUCUAAGUUAAGUGUGAAAGAUGGUGUUGUAACUUAUACAACUAGGAGGUUGGCUUAGAAGCAGCCAUCCUUUAAAGAAAGCGUAAUAGCUCACUAGUCAAGUUGCUUCGCGUCGAAAAUGUAACGGGGCUAAACUUAGUACCGAAGAUGAGAAUUUUCUUGUUUUACAAGAGAGUGGUAGAGGAGCAUUCUAUAUGCAUUGAAGCAGUACCGGAAGGUGUUGUGGAGUGUAUAGAAGUGAGAAUGUUGGCAUAAGUAGCAAAAAUCCAGGCGAGAAUCCUGGACACCGCAAACCCAAGGUUUCCUGGGCAAUGUGAAUCAUCCCAGGGUUAGGCAAUCCUAAGGCGAGGCCGAAAGGCGUAGUCGAUGGAUGAGCAGGUUAAUAUUCCUGCCCUACUGCUAUUUUUUGAUGGGGAGACGUGGUUUGAAUUUUUUCGCGUUAUUCGGUUAUGAACGUUGGCUGUGAGUAGCGUGUUUUCUAGGAAAAUCCGGAAAACAUUAAGCGCGAAAACAGUCAGGAGAUCGCAACUUCGGUUAAGAUUAACGAAAAAUGAAAAAUCACCAAGAAAAACCUCUAGAGUUAAGAUAGUAGUAACUGUACCGCAAACCAACACAGGUGGGUGAGGAGAGUAUCCUCAGGUGGACGAGAGAACCUUCCUUUAGGAACUCGGCAAAACAGCGGCCGUAACUUCGGAAUAAGGCCUGCCCUCGCAAGAGGGCCGCAGCGAAAGAUUCCAAGCGACUGUUUAUCAAAAACACAGGUCCCUGCUAAAGCGCAAGCUGAUGUAUAGGGGCUGAUGCCUGGCCAGUGUCCGAACGUUAAGGGGAUCCCUUUCCGGGGUGAACUGAAGCGCGGAUGAACGCCGGCCGUAACUAUAACGGUCCUAAGGUAGCGAAAUUCCUUGACGGGUAAGUUCCGUCCUGCACGAAUGGCAUAACGACUUGGAAACUGUCUCAAGGAAGGACUCGGCGAAAUUGCAAGACGAGUAAAGAUGCUCGUUACCCAUAGCUAGACGAAAAGACCCCGUGAAGCUUUACUAUAGUUUGAUAUUGAUUUAAGGAUAUAUUUGUUCAGGAUAGGUGGGAGACUUUGAAACCCCGACGUUAGUUGGGGCGGAGUCAACCUUGAGAUACCACCCUUGUAUAUUUUUAAAUCUAACUUAAUCCCGUUAUCCGGGAUAAGAACAGUAUCUGACGGGUAGUUUAACUGGGGCGGUUGCCUCCCAAAAUGUAACGGAGGCGUUUACAAAGGUUGGCUAGCUCCUGAUGGAAAUAGGAGUGGUCGUGCAAACGCAUAAGCCAGCUUUACUGCAAGAGCUACAACUCGAGCAGUUGCGAAAGCAGAAGUUAGUGAUCCGACCGUACGAAAUAGGACGGCGGAAGCUCAUCGGAUAAAAGUUACUCCGGGGAUAACAGGCUGAUCAGGUCCAAGAGUCCAUAUCGACGACCUGGUUUGGCACCUCGAUGUCGGCUCAUCGCAUCCUGGGGCUGGAGAAGGUCCCAAGGGUUAGGCUGUUCGCCUAUUAAAGCGGUACGCGAGCUGGGUUCAGAACGUCGUGAGACAGUUCGGUCUCCUAUCUGCUAUGGGCGUUGAAUUUUGAAGGGAUUCUUUUCUAGUACGAGAGGACCGAAAAGAACGAACCUCUAGUGUACCAGUUGUCUUACCAAGGGCAUUGCUGGGUAGCUACGUUCGGCGCGGAUAAACGCUGAAAGCAUAUAAGCGUGAAGCCGUCCCUAAGAUUAGAAUUCGUUAUAGGUCUCUGGGAGACGACCAGAUUGAUAGGCUCUAUGUGUAAGUGCAGUAAUGCAUUGAGCAAAGGAGUACUAAUAGACCAA
rnacentral:rRNA from 1 species